rnacentral:rRNA from 1 species
CACGUAGGGUGCGAGCGUUGUCCGGAAUUAUUGGGCGUAAAGAGCUCGUAGGCGGUCCGUCACGUCGGAUGUGAAAUUCCAGGGCUCAACCCUGGACCUGCAUUCGAUACGGGCGGACUAGAGUUCGGUAGGGGAGACUGGAAUUCCUGGUGUAGCGGUGAAAUGCGCAGAUAUCAGGAGGAACACCGGUGGCGAAGGCGGGUCUCUGGGCCGAUACUGACGCUGAGGCACGAAGGCCAGGGGAGCAAACGGG